AUAAGACUACUUAGCUUCCAUCACAAUGAGAAACAUAAAGGGAGAAAGUGGGUCCCCCCUGUCUCAACCCUUUAGAUGCCUUGAAGAAAGAAGAAGAACCACCAUUAACUAUAAUGGCAAAAGAGGGCGUAAUAAAUACAAGAUCUCACCACCUCCUCCACUUCUGCCCAAACUCCGAUCUGGCCAACAUAUAGUCCACAAAGUCCCAAUUAACAUGAUCGUAUGUCCUAUGGCACUCAAUAAACAGUGCUUGCUCUCAUUCCUUCCAAUUGCAGUUGUUAUUCUCUUUUCUUCUUGUCUGUUAAUUGGCUAGGAAUAUUGAUUCUAGAAU
rnacentral:lncRNA from 1 species